rnacentral:rRNA from 1 species
CGGACGGGUGAGUAAUGUCUGGGAAACUGCCUGAUGGAGGGGGAUAACUACUGGAAACGGUAGCUAAUACCGCAUAACGUCGCAAGACCAAAGAGGGGGACCUUCGGGCCUCUUGCCAUCGGAUGUGCCCAGAUGGGAUUAGCUAGUAGGUGGGGUAACGGCUCACCUAGGCGACGAUCCCUAGCUAGUCUGAGAGGAUGACCAGCCACACUGGAACUGAGACACGGUCCAG